CUUUUUGCAAAAAGAUGAGGGGGAAACUCCGUAAGAUGUCGGAGAAGCGAAAUAUACGAGAUCACAAACGUCGAUUUCUCGCGGCUAAAUAUGAAUUGAGACGAAAGCUUUUUAAAGCCUUUUGUAAAGAUUUCCUAGUGAUAUGCGGGACAAACAUCGUUAUAAGCCGCCCUCGUUCCGUAUAUGAGUUCUUUCAAAUUUAUCGUAUCGUUUUUCGCAUCUCGAUGGGCAUAAAGAAAUCGUCUUGGUAGCAACCACCAAACCAAUAGAGCAAGGGUUAGCUCCGCAGCUGGUCCACAGGUAAGUAGGUCCAUUACCGGCCGGCUCCGGACCGAAAAGACCUAACGGAGUAAUCCCUUAUCUCGGAUCGGAGAUGCUAACGGGGCGGGAAUCGAAGUGGGAGACCCCUCUACCGCCUGUGUCUAUCUCCUGUCAAGUAUGCUCCCCAGACAUAGACUACGUACAGGUAGUACUCCUGGAAAGAUAGAAUAUCACCGCGUGAACAUAACAUUAAGUUACGAAUGUAACUCCCGAGGGAUCGACCACUAUUCUAAAUAUAGUAAGGCGGAGAACUAUUGUUCAUUAGAGCGCCGGGGCGCGGGGGUUGUUCCCAUCAUUGAAGUCAGAGUGUGGGGCUGAGCCUUCCGAAUGAUAAAGACAAAAAAGUGCUUUUUUCGUUGGAAAAACCAACGCAAAUCUCAUAUUGACUUUCUCUCGCCCUACUUCUAAGGAUAUAUAGAAAAGGUUGGAGAGAGUUACUUUAACCGCCUGAAAUUCUCUCCCUUCUAAAGCUGCGCAAGGCGACCCCCCCCCAGAACAAAGCCCCACCCCUCUUUUCUCCCUUUAAUGAAAGAACCUCGUCCCGCUUCCUAUUCAUUUGUGGGUCGGGACCCGAAGGCCCUUUUUUUUCUCAAGAGGUGAUUCCGAGAAUCAAUCAACCGACAAAUCCGUAGCCCAGGUGACUCACAGCCUCCCUCUCGCCCAAAUGAAAUGGGAUGGAUUAAAUCAAAAAGCUUAUUGAUUGAUUCAGGGCGCAGCGAAGCCAAAUUAAAUCAAGGCAAGGGGGGCUUACUUUUCCUGACGCUGAGUCAUCCUAUUAAAAUUUAGCUAUGCUAAUGGAACAGAAAAAGUAUUUAGAUGAUAUGGACCCCGGCGAGAACCUCCAAUUGCUUAGGGGUCGCACUCUCUCCCGCUUGGUGGACGAAAUCUUCUCUCCUUUUUUUUAUCAUUCUUUCUCCCACACACCCUUGCCCUCUUUCACCGAAGAGGAAAGAAUAAUCUUCCAUAAAAUAUAUAUAUAAUUUUUUUUUUAGUAAGUAGGGCCCCAGAACGCUAAAAGGCGGGGGAACUAGAGUUGUCACGAUAGGAAAGAUAAAUGACUAUAAGGAACCAACGAUUCUCUCUUCUUAAACAACCAAUAUCCUCCACACUUAAUCAGCAUUUGAUAGAUUAUCCAACCCCGAGCAAUCUUAGUUAUUGGUGGGGGUUCGGUCCGUUAGCUGGUAUUUGUUUAGUCAUUCAGAUAGUAACUGGCGUUUUUUUAGCUAUGCAUCACACACCUCAUGUGGAUCUAGCUUUCAACAGCGUAGAACACAUUAUGAGAGAUGUUGAAGGGGGUUGGUUGCUCCGUUAUAUGCAUGCUAAUGGGGCAAGUAUGUUUCUCAUUGUGGUUCACCUUCAUAUUUUUCGCGGUCUAUAUCAUGCGAGUUAUAGCAGUCCUAGGGAAUUUGUUCGGUGUCUCGGAGUUGUAAUCUUCCUAUUAAUGAUUGUGACAGCUUUUACAGGAUACGUACUACCUUGGGGUCAGAUGAGCUUUUGGGGAGCUACAGUAAUUACAAGCUUAGCUAGCGCCAUACCUGUAGUAGGGGAUACCAUAGUUACUUGGCUUUGGGGCGGUUUCUCCGUGGACAAUGCCACCUUAAAUCGUUUUUUUAGUCUUCAUCAUUUACUCCCCUUUAUUUUAGUAGGCGCCAGUCUUCUUCAUCUGGCCGCAUUGCAUCAAUAUGGAUCAAAUAAUCCAUUGGGUGUACAUUCAGAGAUGGAUAAAAUUUCUUUUUACCCUUAUUUUUAUGUAAAGGAUCUAGUAGGUUGGGUAGCUUUUGCUAUCUUUUCUUCCAUUUGGAUUUUUUAUGCUCCUAAUGUUUUGGGGCAUCCCGACAAUUAUAUACCUGCUAAUCCGAUGCCCACCCCGCCUCAUAUUGUGCCGGAAUGGUAUUUCCUACCGAUCCAUGCCAUUCUUCGUAGUAUACCUGACAAAUCGGGAGGUGUAGCCGCAAUAGCACCUGUUUUUAUAUGUCUGUUGGCUUUACCUUUUUUUAAAAGUAUGUAUGUGCGUAGUUCAAGUUUUCGCCCUAUUCACCAAGGAAUAUUUUGGUUGCUUUUGGCGGAUUGCUUACUACUAGGUUGGAUCGGAUGUCAACCUGUGGAGGCACCAUUUGUUACUAUUGGACAAAUUUCUCCUUUAGUUUUCUUCUUAUUCUUUGCCAUAACGCCCAUUCCGGGACAAGUUGGAAGAGGAAUUCCUAAUUCUUACACGGAUGAGACCGAUCACAUCUGAUCAGUGAAAAAUUCUGACACCAAUCAUUUACGAGUGAGUAUUACACCAAGAAUUAAUUGACAAGCGGAUGAGUUUUCUAGUUGGCUAUGUUGAUAUAGCUUAGAUAGGGUUCACUCUAUAUUUUUUUUGUUAUGUUUUGUGCUUUGCUUUAACUAUAUAUCGUCGUUCUUUUUUUAUUGCUAGCUGUCACUGGGCUUCCAACCUAAGAAGCCGCUCUACAUGAAGGGUCCAGCAUGGCGGUCAUGAAACGUCUACCCGGGCGCGGACCAAAUUCCGUAGGUGAUGGAAGAACCGCUCUUUUUACAUCUACCUUGAAAGGAUGGCCUUCGAGGAGAUGCUUAAGUUACCUUAAACCAUUCUUCUGUCAGUCCCUGUCUGUCUCCCGGGAUCUAAAUGGGCUAUCCGGGCAUGACCACCGAGAGGAAAAUCUUGCCGGAUCUAUCGUUCUACAAGAAGGGACUUUUGGUUUGUUUUCAACAAGUUGCGUAUGUCCUAUUUUGUACGUUUGCUUGUUGGUUGCUUUGGUGGUCCUAUAUGCUUAACACACGUGAGUUGCCUCUUGCCUUGUACUUUCCAUUUCCGCGGUUUAUUUCUUUUGAUCCUUUCACUAGGAUGAAUUUAGUAAUAGGCUUGCAAGUGAUCUGGUUCGUGCUUUCUCUGGUUGAUGAGUGGUCCCCUGGCCAGUAGUAGAAGGGGAUCUUGCUUGGUCUUCUAUCUUAUCUUUUAGCCGCCGAUUUCCUCAGGAUGGAAACCUGCACGGGGGGAAUCGACAAGGUGCCUCCCAGGCGGAUCGAAUCACUCUCUCUUCCAACCUUUCUGACGGUGGCAUGAGCUACCAUGUUAUCCGGUCAGAUGGCUCAGUCCCUGGCUUUCGUUAGACUUCAUUAGCUUUCAUUAGAUAACUUACGACCCGGAAAGAAAGCACUUAAUAGAAUAUAUCUCCUAAGUCCUAUCUUUCGAAAUUAAUCAAUCAAUGAAUUCAAUCUCUUUGAUUGAUAUAGCGAAAAGUUAGAGCUGAGAGGACGCACCCAUUCCAGAAUCCACUUUAAUCAAGUCCUUUUCAAAGGGCAUCCUCCUUUCGCUUGUAUUUUCAUAAAGAAAGUGUAUAUUUCUUUUUAUCGGAGCUGAGGUUGGACCUAGAACAAAAUGUCGGUUCGAUUCCGGCCGGUUCAUAUGUGAAGAUCAUACUUGCGCUAUGCUAUGAUCUUUUUUCCUAAAAAAAAAGGGUGGAAACGACAUGCAAAGAAGUUACGAUAUGCCUUGUUCGAUUCAACAUCUCAUUAAAAAAAAAUGAGGUUUAUGCUUUUUAUCAAAAACGACAAAGCGACUUUCCCAUCACAGAAGUCGAUAUUCUGGCCAUUCAAAACGCCCUUUUAAACGGAAGUUAAAAAUUUCGCAUUUUGAGAGAACAGAACUGUUACCAUCCUGGUUUUAAUGUGCCCUUGCUUUCGCUUGAACUCGAACUCGCUGAUGAAUUUCUUAUUGGUACGCUUGGUGGUAUAUUAAUGAAAGCAUUCGGACAAUCUUCAUUUUUUCAAAUAAUUGUUUUAGUUCUUCCCGUGAGGAUAGAGAACUUUCUCAUUAUUUUGAUACGGUUGGAAAAAAGUAGAUACUCUUCUUAGAAUUGAUUUAUCCGAAUCUAUAACCACAUUCUCUCGUUCUCGACUUUUAUACAAAGUGAAAUCGGUUAUUAAGGUAAGGAUGGAUGAGUUUCUUAAGAAAUGAAUAUCUUAAUUUUUUUGAUCUACCAAUUUUAGAUGGUUGGGGGAAAGACUGGUCCAUAAAGACAGGAAUUCCUCCCGUUGUCUUCAUAGCCUCUGAAUUUUUGAAUAUAUUUUUGGAUGACUUGGAUCGCGAGUUGGAAGUCUAGUUCCCUAAUAGGAAAUAUGCCGGCUUCGACGAUGAGAUCCUUGUACCCAUUUUUAAGGAAUAAGAAAAUCCCUUUAGAUUUAGAAUAGAAUCCUUUACAGAUAUUUAAAAGGAAUUGGAUUUAGUUGGCAACUUCGACCGCGCAGUUCCAGGGGGGGAGCCCAUCCUCUGCUUGGGAGGCUUGCUUUUCUCAAGAAAGAGGGCUUUAUACAAAUAGAGUUCCAAUGAAAAAGAACUGUUGGUUGAUUGGGGGAAUUGGAUAGGGUUGGGCAGUAGCCCUAUCUGCUCCCGAAAGAAGAGAGUAGCCAAAGCACGACGCGAAGGCGAGGACCCCACGAUAUAGGGGAGGUGGGGAAGUGGGAAAGAGGGUUCCUCACCAACUCUUUUGGAAGGUUCUUUUACAUCUAGUGAAUUAGGUUAUUUACGGGAAGAAAUGGGUUCUUUUCGAAUUUGAUUGUCUUCUUCAAAGAAAGACUGUGGUUCAUCAUUUAUUCAUUGGAAGGGGAUAUAUUUACGCUUCAGUCAAUAAGAAAGAACUAUCCUAUUCUAGUUAAAAAAAAAGUAGCUCUAACGUGAUGAAUGGCAAACCAACAUCUCAACAAACUAUCUCCUUCAAAAAGAUGGUUUACAUUAUUCUAUAAUGUGAUAAAAUAAGGUCAUGUCAGUUCCUCUCUCUCUCUUUCAUUCCUGAUAAGGAAGAGCAAACGAUCUUAUUCUACGACUGGAAAAUAAUCUUAUUACCGGCAAGACAAGCCAAGUCCCUCUAUUCCUGACCCACCUUUCUAAAAACUCUAAAGCAGGAAGAGAGUAGGCCUUGGACCUUCCUAUAUCUAUUUCCUCUUCUUUCUUUUGACUGUUGAGUUGAUAAUGCCUUUCACCUUUUUUGAAUGUACGAGCUAGAUAGUGGUUUCUGAAAUCACUGUAAAGGAAAUCAUUCCCUUCAAUAAGAAAAACGGUUUCUAUGACCAAGUUGAUAUAUGAAAAAGUGGAUUUUGGGUCCUUAUUUAAGAGUAGGUAGGUGAAAUGAGUUUUUUUUUUUCAGUGAUGUCUUUAGCCUUUGAGAAAGGGAGGCAAGGAAGCUAGCCUAUGUGGAAUGGAAGAAAGAAGUCAAGCCCGUAAAGCAGAAAAAAAGAAUAGGUUUGAUUCACUGGAACAAGAAAUUUACUCUCAAACUACCUGUCCAUAUACUCCAAAAGAAGACUGGAGUAGCUGAGCGGAAAAGAAGAGUUUGAAAAAGUAGUGACUCUUUCAACACAAGAAGCUGUAAAGAGUAUUAAAUUUAUUAGUCUUCGAUUAACAAACUAUGGAAAGGGAAAGUGACAGCAUAGCCCUAACCUCUUGUUUAAUAGCUUUUUUCAGUAGUGCUCAACACCAAGGGGUUUCUUUCGCUUCUUUUUUCAAAGUGCACUGAACUGGCAAAGAGAAUAAAUGUAGGCAGCGGGUGUACUCGAGCUCGGUAAGCCAAUAAAGAAGGUAGGUGGGCUCAGAGCAUAAGUCUAUGUAACGCUAGGAGCAUAACUCUAUAGCUAGGAGCUUUCUUUCCUUCUUCCCGCAGUUACGCUUUCAGUGCAGUCUACGGUCUCCCCACCGAAAGUCGGAUAUAACUGUAUUCCCUGUUUUCCUUGGGCGUGAGAAGUGAAUCAGGGACUUGCCAUGGAUACGAGUGAAACGAAGGCACAGGCCCUUGUUCUCUAGAAAUUUUUCGGAUCCUACGUUGAUUGGCUUAAAGUUAAAAAUAACGUAUUCUAUCAGCCUCUGGAAGUUCCAUUUUUGAUCCGCCUUUUAGAUCUUAUAUGCUUGAUUAUGCCUUUUGAGUGCCUAAAGACAGGUGAACGGAUUCAAGGGAGAGUUGAAAGCGCUUACUAGUGAGUGAGGUGAGUGAAGUGCCCUCCUUCUAUCUUACAGGUAGUGGUAGUGUAGCAGGGCUGUUUCCCUGGAUGAGGUAGUUUCCGCAGGUUAUAUUCUAUUACGCAGCCACCCACCUAUUCGUGAUAGGUGAACGAGUCGCCUAGGUGAAAUACUUCUAAAUGCUCUUUCAUAGAGGACCCUGGCUUCCAUUUCUCUAUACGUAAGGUAUACCCCUGUAACAGGAUACUAUGGUACACUGCGCAAAUUCGUCGACAUCCGGCAUCUCAGUUUGUACCUUUUAGAAGGGAUUACAGUCGCUAAAUUAAAAAGUUUGCCCUUCGAUCGCGGUAUUACCAUCUGAUGCAGUCCAACUUAUCCCUGCUAACCUACAACUAAAGCACCAACUGCGCUUAUUCUGCCUCUAUCAUCUACGUCAAUUUCUUCUUCAAUAGAUUCCCUCACUUCUGGCCCGAGAGAAAGUAGGCCAAAAACGUGGGAUGUAAAAAAAGGUGUAUUCUAGGGCCAGGUGAUGUCAGGUAUACAGGAUGAGUCUCACAGUCCCCACAGCCUCCACGCGAGAACGCAUCCCCUUUUCCGUGAUGAUGCUUUGUUAAUCCUUUACUGGAAGUCUGCUUUUAAGAAAACCCUGCAUAGAAUAGGUCACAUAAAGUGAAGGCUGGUACCCGAAUCAAUCCACCAUGCAUAAGUAGAAAAGUAAAAAAAAAGCAACUUUUCAGAAACAAGGGCAUAGUGAUUGCCUUCCUUCACUCCUUAAAAAACCGAAGCUUUGAACUAAAUAUCGUACAAUCCUUUUUUAUAGUUGCAAAGCAUAGCGAGAGAAAAAGAACAAGAAAGUUGACCGUGACGGUCGUAGCUCUAUCAAGUAGGUACGCUAAACACUCAUAGACCGGUAUCGUAUAAUAUAUAUAUAUAUAUAAUAUAUAUUAUUAUAAAAGUCGCGGUGGAAUCCAUUGCGAUCUUGGGCAUCGCCAAAGAAGGGUGUUCUCAGCGCCUAUGCUUAACACGGCUCCCAUGAUAGUAGCAGAAAACGAGUUGUGCUGGUGAUGUGAUCGGACCAUUUCCCCCCGGGAAAUACGGUCACAAGUUCAUACUUUCUUUUUUACUAGUCAUUUUUUACUAGAGUAAGUCAAGAUCAGAGCAGGCACAACGACGCAAUUCUCAGGGGCGUGUCUGGUGCUAUCGUAUAUAAGAGAAAGGUUGGGUUGCAUUUAGGAAGGAUCUUUCUCUUUAACUAGAAAUAUCUUAAGAUAAGAAAGCGUAAAAAAGAAAGGUUUUGAUUCGACCUGAUUAAACAAAGAAAAAAAAGCUUUCUCCGCGUCAGGCUGUUGAUGUAGUUGCUUGUACUUUUCAUUUUAUGUCGAGAUUUAGUUGGUGUUCAGUGUACCUGUUGAAGACCUUAACGUAAGGAACUUAGUGCAAAAGUAAGUGGCGGAGAUCCACAAAGGUAACCGGAUGCCUGGGGCUUAGGACAAGGAGCGUCCGGAGUCUCUUAAGAAAGGAAAGAAAAAAAGUUAUCAUGAAGAUACCUAGGUUCCGUCACAUUUUCUAUCAAAUAUUUCAUUCUAUGAGCAUCUUCUUCUUAGGUAGACCACUCGUUAGGCUUGCUUUCGCUUACUUUUAUUUGCUUUUUUGGAAUUGGCUUUUGGUAAACGCACCUUUUGCUGACAUCGAUCUUAUGCAUUUUUUUUCGGACUCUUUGGCCGUGAACUCUGGCUCAAUCGCCGAUUCCAAUUCAGUUCAUAAUAUACCUAUCAAUGAUCCCCCUUUCAAUCCUAUUGAUCAAGAACCUAACAAUAAUGUAGUACCUCUCGACGUUGUCGAUCAAUUUCGUAUACUCAACCAAGAGACGGAAUUGGAACUCUUUGCUCGGAUACGACUUCUAGAGAACCGGUUGAUUGACGGCUUGCCACCGCAAAUGAACUUUGGCGAGUACGAAGCCUUAGUCAGAGGGUUUCUCGAUGACACCCUGACCAUUGGACACUACCGUAAUGUCCUAAGCAAUGAGCUCUUUGAUCUUCGCCUGUUAGAGUUUAAGGCGAAUCUCUUAGAGCAACUCGUCAAUUUGUUWWUGAGCGAAACAACUGAGCGGCUCRCUCAAAUAUUGGCRGACUCGCCCUUUCGMGAGGGKKCCAUAAGGACCGAAGCUCUUUCAUUUAUMAACGACUUUAUGAGUCGUUUAAAUCUGAAUGASCCMCASUCCCCUUUUGAUAAAGGAUURGUKGAAGCUAUGCUGCGGUACUGGAUCCAAGAUGCCCAGCAAAACGGGAAUCUCUCCGCCGUGUAUAGAGAGUUCCUCCGGUAUUUCCUUGGAAACUAAACCGGCCUUCCCAUUUCAAUAAAAAAGCCCCGCUCCGGCCCCUCUCUGACAAGGAAAGAAAGAAAUAAUCUCAAUUUUACGACACGAUGGCUGUUCUCCACUAACCACAAGUAUACAGGGACUCUAUAUUUCAUCUUCGGUGCUAUUGCUGGAGUGAUGGGCACAUGCUUCUCAGUACUGAUUCGUAUGGAAUUAGCACGACCCGGCGAUCAAAUUCUUGGUGGUAAUCAUCAACUUUAUAAUGUUUUAAUAACGGCUCACGCUUUUUUAAUGAUCUUUUUUAUGGUUAUGCCGGCGAUGAUAGGCGGAUAUGGUAAUUGGUCUUUUCCUCAUUCUGAUUUUGGUUUUCGUAUCACGGAUCUUGCUUCGCGCUUUAUGGCGAAAAUGCUCACCGGAUUGCUUUUUCUUUCUCUCCUGGGUAAAGUAGUAUCCCUUUUAUUUAAUUUUUUUAAGUGGGUAUUACUUUAUUGUGGCUUCUCGGGGUUUCCAGGGAUCCUCACUGCCUGUUCGGUGGUCCCUACCGACCCCGUCCCCCUGCUAGAGUUCUACCUCAAUAUGCCCCACCAAGACCCAAACUGGGUUAGAUAUGUGAUAGACGUCCUACGCGUCACCCCUCCUGCCGAGAUGGCUGCACAAAUCCAAUCUUUUAUUAACCUCGAAUCGGCUUCGGCAACUCAAAAGGUUAUAAUUGACCAGUGCAAAACUAUUUUUUUUGAAAAAGAAGAUUCGAACUUGUUUAUUCCUGAAUUCUACUUUGAUGUUAUGGUUAGUGCAUUGUUAGACCAACUCAACGUAGAAUUUAAUCAAGGAGCACUCUCAAGCAUUCUCAUAUCUCUCUCCACCGAUGAGCACCACGCCCCGUUCUACGCAGAGCUCUUAAAUUCGGAGCUGUAUACUUCUUUUUUGAACGAACAUAAAGCAAAGGAAGAAGCGGAGUCUCGUAGUUAUUUGAAAUACCAGGAAUAUCUUUCACUAGAGGACAGGGGCCGCGUGCUCCGGGCCGAACGCGAUUCGUUGUUGCGUCAGUUAAGCCGGCACCGGGGCUAGGGAUCACAUAUUUAGUAGGACGAGGCCCGCUACGAAGAACCUAACAGAACAAGCAAUGCCCCAUUUUCUUUGAGAGAGUCUAGUAUGAUUACACUCCUAUUCAGGAUAUAGUAUGUUAUCAUUGUUUCCUAUGAUAAUAGAUCAAUAAAACGAGGUUUCGAAGCAAACAAAGUGAGAGCGAUUUUAAGGAGAGUGAAUUUAAGGAGGACGAUGGACCCACUCACGAUCUACUAAAAGGCAAGUAGCUUGAUAUUGGUUCAAAUCCAAUUCGUGAGAAGAAGCGUCAAAUGAUUUGGACAGUUGUCGCGCUGGCGGAGCGGGGAGCCUACAGGGAAGAUUGGGGCAAUGAGGAGCUCGACGAGUAUCUGCAGACCCUCUACCCCAUCGACUACAUCUAUCGCUGAACCAACUUCCGAACCGACUGACUCAUCUACCGAAUCCACAGAACCGACUGCAACUUCAUUGACUGAAUGAACUGGUGCCUAUAAAGGUAUAGGCACAUCCUGGUGCUGGCUGUAGCCGUGGGAGGUGGGGGUGACUUUCAAGCAAUAAAUAGGCACAGUUGGAAAGCGAUGCGCUCAAGCCUUUAUGGAUAAAUAGGUAGUACAGAAACUCUUCUUUGCGGUGAGCGGUACGUCUAAGUUCCGGGAGUCGCAGAUCCAUUUUUCUUCCGGUAGUGGAAGGCGAGAUGUAGGCCUAUCGAAAGUGAAGCUAAAAAAAUACAAUCUGAUUUUCGUUAUUAAAGCGGUAUCCUAAAAGUACUUUCAAGGAAGGAAGCCCUUUAAUGAAAACCGGACCUGAAGAGACGUAGGCCGAGACUAGAGUCCGAUCCGAACCUUCACUUUCAC
rnacentral:lncRNA from 1 species